UUGUCGAGUUGCAAUCAAAGAC
rnacentral:miRNA from 1 species